GCUCUGGUAGUGUAGAGUUUUGACUUGGCUUCAGGUCAUAACAUGCAUUGGUUUAGCAUUAGGGACUGUCACUCCCUCGACUCGGGUUCGAAUCCCGACCAGGGCG
rnacentral:tRNA from 1 species